GGUGUAGCUCAGUUGGUGGAGCGUCUGACUGUGGCUCAGAAUGUCGCGGGUUCGAGUCCCGUCUC
rnacentral:tRNA from 1 species